rnacentral:rRNA from 1 species
UGCCUACGGGAGGCAGCAGUGGGGGAUAUUGCACAAUGGGGGAAACCCUGAUGCAGCAACGCCGCGUGAGUGAAGAAGGUCUUCGGAUUGUAAAGCUCUGUUCUUGGUGAAGAUAAUGACGGUAGCCAAGGAGAAAGCUCCGGCUAACUACGUGCCAGCAGCCGCGGUAAUACGUAGGGAGCGAGCGUUUUCCGGAUUUACUGGGUGUAAAGGGUGCGCAGGCGGCGCUGCAAGUCAGGCGUGAAAGCUAGGGGCUCAACCCCUAAAUUGCGCUUGAAAAUGUGGGGCUUUAGUGAAGGAGAGGG